GACGAACGCUGGCGGCGUGCCUAAUACAUGCAAGUUGAGCGCUGAAGGUUGGUACUUGUACCGACUGGCUGAGCAGCGAACGGGUGAGUAACGCGUGGGGAAUCUGCCUUUGAGCGGGGGACAACAUUUGGAAACGAAUGCUAAUACCGCAUAAAAACUUUAAACACAAGUUUUAAGUUUGAAAGAUGCAAUUGCAUCACUCAAAGAUGAUCCCGCGUUGUAUUAGCUAGUUGGUGAGGUAAAGGCUCACCAAGGCGAUGAUACAUAGCCGACCUGAGAGGGUGAUCGGCCACAUUGGGACUGAGACACGGCCCAAACUCCUACGGGAGGCAGCAGUAGGGAAUCUUCGGCAAUGGACGAAAGUCUGACCGAGCAACGCCGCGUGAGUGAAGAGGGUUUUCGGAUCGUAAAACUCUGUUGGUAGAGAAGAACGUUGGUGAGAGUGGAAAGCUCAUCAAGUGACGGUAACUACCCAGAAAGGGACGGCUAACUACGUG
rnacentral:rRNA from 1 species